UACGAAGGGGGCUAGCGUUGUUCGGAAUCACUGGGCGUAAAGCGCACGUAGGCGGAUCUUUAAGUCAGGGGUGAAAUCCCGAGGCUCAACCUCGGAACUGCCUUUGAUACAGCACGUCUCGAGUCCGGAAGAGGUGGGUGGAAUUCCUAGUGUAGAGGUGAAAUUCGUAGAUAUUAGGAAGAACACCGGUGGCGAAGGCGGCCCACUGGUCCGGUACUGGACGCUGA
rnacentral:rRNA from 1 species